UUUCUUUUUUCUUUUCCUCUUUAUACUUGAUUCACUCACUUAGAUGUGCAAUAACUAGAGCACAUCUAGAUGUGCCCUAGACACACCCUUAAAAUUAUGAGAAAUGAAAAGUAGUGACUUAGAUAUUACUAGGAGUAACAUAUUUAUGUGCAGAAACUCUCAGCACAAUUUAUUGAGCAUAGCUAACAGGUUAGAUGAUAUGUUCACUGAGUCAGAGCUUAUCCUAAGUUGGUUAGGCUGGAGGGUCAAAUCUAAUAAAGUCCUUCACACAUAACAAAUUCAAAAAAAUCACAACAUGUAGUUACCCAUCUUCCUGCCUUAGUUGAAUAAGAAUAUUAGACUAGUGUGUCCCAGAUUACACCAAUCCCCAUUCUCACACCUACAAUCAUCAAAAUACUAUGCGAACAUGCCUAAUUUUGAUCAGCUCAGGAACACUAUCAUCAUUCUGUACAAUUUGAUGCGUGCAUAACGAUGUAGACUUUGUUGUGUACAGAUGAAAAGGUGCAAUUGACGGUACAUAACCAAAAAAUCAAAUCGAAGUUUGUGUCGGCCUAAUUUUAAUAGGCAACGAAAACAGCAGAGACCAAUUUUUACGCAAGUUAAUCGCCAAAAUUACCGAUUACACCCCUAUAGUAAAUCGAAGCAACAAAGGCUCAAACAGAUGCAAUACCAUGAUCAAACAUGUUACCUUCGAUAACAAAAAAAACGCGAAACUUCACCAACAAGGAAAACCUAGAUCCAAAACCGAUCCGCCCACAAAACCAAAACCAGAUAUCGGCACAUGACACCGAACCUAAUUCACCGGCCCGGCCCAUGGCAAAUAGAUCCACACCUCCGCCAUCCCGAGAGGAACCGGCGUCGCCUACGGCCAGCGAGGAGGAUGCAGACAUGAAUCAGNNNNNNNNNNNNNNNNNNNNNNNNNNNNNNNNNNNNNNNNNNNNNNNNNNNNNNNNNNNNNNNNNNNNNNNNNNNNNNNNNNNNNNNNNNNNNNNNNNNNNNNNNNNNNNNNNNNNNNNNNNNNNNNNNNNNNNNNNNNNNNNNNNNNNNNNNNNNNNNNNNNNNNNNNNNNNNNNNNNNNNNNNNNNNNNNNNNNNNNNNNNNNNNNNNNNNNNNNNNNNNNNNNNNNNNNNNNNNNNNNNNNNNNNNNNNNNNNNNNNNNNNNNNNNNNNNNNNNNNNNNNNNNNNNNNNNNNNNNNNNNNNNNNNNNNNNNNNNNNNNNNNNNNNNNNNNNNNNNNNNNNNNNNNNNNNNNNNNNNNNNNNNNNNNNNNNNNNNNNNNNNNNNNNNNNNNNNNNNNNNNNNNNNNNNNNNNNNNNNNNNNNNNNNNNNNNNNNNNNNNNNNNNNNNNNNNNNNNNNNNNNNNNNNNNNCAGCCUUGACUCCAGUCGCCGCCGGGGAAACCCUAAACCUAGGAGAGAAGGGGAGAGGCGGCGAAGAGGCAGGCGAGGCGGGGAAAGAGGUGGAAGCAAAGCGGGAAAUGCGAGAGACGAGCUGGAGCCUGAGGGGGCGAGAUUUUGUUUCUUCCUCUCGUCUUCCUUUCUGUAUUUAUUUAUAUAUUCUGGCUCUCCUUUGCACAUUGACAAUUUGUGACUUUGGGCUAUAUGGCGGUUCGAAACAGCACGCGGUUAUCGUGACACGUCGGGCCCGUUGCCGUGUCACCUAUAAGGGCAUGGCCAACGGGCCACGCUGGACCGGUGCCCCAAGCGCCACAUCAUCUCGCUGAUUGCCACAUCCGCUGAACGUGCUGCUUGGAGAGGGAAACGGGCUCCUGCAGAAGAGAUCGGCUCCUCCCUGACAAAAGCGAUGAGGCAGCCCCUAGAGCGACGCAGUGUGAACUGCCCAGCUAGCUCUUGUCCAGGACCACAGCGCGGUGAUGCUCUGUCCUGGUUGCAUGUGUUGAAAAGGGAGUGAGAGAAAAAAGCAUGAUGAUGACAUCAAGAAACUAGCCUCCAUUGAGUGAUUGUAAUACACAUCAUAGCUUCAUUCAAAUUUAUCUAGGUGGAAGAUAUGAGGCAGCAGUAGGCUGAUGCCUCCAUUGUACAUGCCCUAAACCGCUUGGGUCACGCUGUCUGAAAGUGGUAAAUCCCUACCCUCAAAAAAAGAAAGUGGUAAAUCCCUUCUCUCUUUUUUUGAGUAACGGUAAAUCCCUGCCGACCAUCAGCUAGGAGAAGGGUCUAGCGACCCCUUUCCACCGUUGCACGAAUCUUGACGCAGGGUCAGUGCCACGUCAGAUUUCAAACUAACUAGAAGGGUUGAACGCGCUUUGCUGCGCCGUUGUGACUUUCUUUUAAAAAAUCACUCUCUUUCACAAUAUAAGGUAUAUUAUUUUUUUGAAAAGAUAAAUCUUUUAAGUUUCAUCAAAUUUGUAGAGAAAUAUAUCAAAAUUCAUAAUAUCAUAUUGGUAUUUUUAGAUUCAUCAUGAAAUGAAUUUUAAUAUUUUUUUGUUUAAUAUUGCGGAUGUCGAUAUUUUUGCUUUGAACUUGCUCUAAGUUGAAAAUUUUGACUUCCUAGAAAAACUAAUACCCUUUAUAUUUUGGAACUGAGAAAAUAUUUAGUCUGGCGUGUGGGGAAGAUGAUAGUGUGUUUUAUUUUUAUUUUAUAAUGCAUUGAUUUGGUGGGCCUUUCAUGAUGUGAUUCUGUGUUCUCCACUAACCAAUCUAUAUUUAUGUGGAGAAAUUUCAGUGCUGGUGGUUGCAUAUACUAUAUUGGUGCUACGAUAUCACAUGGUGACACUUCUUUUUAUAGGUGGUGAGGUGCAUGGGAUUGAUAUGUUUUUAUAAGCCAAUUGCUGCUGGUUGAUUUGCAAAAUUAUUGGCCUGGUUAAAAUCGUAAACCAAAUCCAAAAUUGAAUACCUCAAUUGAAAUAGCUUUAAAAGGAAACAUAAUGAAUUAAAAGAAUUGAAUGAGAAAGCUUGAGAAAAUGUAGACCCGGUCAAAAUCGGAUAACACAAUUCUAAAUUGAAUACCCCAAUUAAUUGUGAGGCCUUAAAAAUUAGAAAGCAUAAUGUGUAGUAUAAGAUGAUUGAAUGAGAGAGCUUCACGAAAUUAUUGACCCGGUCAAAAUCGGUGACACAAUUCUAAUUGAAGACCUCGGUUGAAUGUGGGCUCUUUGAACCUAAGGAGCUUAGUGUUAUAGAGGAUUCACCGCGGGAAUAAAACCCAACGAAUGUUCCUUUUUUCAAAUAACUUGCCCACCCCCACUGGCUAGUGGCGUGGUCUUUGCAUAUGGAGGACCCUGAAUUGAAUCCUAGGACCUCCCUUUUUGCCCACUUUUUUAGUCAUGAUGGCAUUUUCUAGAAAAACAAUAGCUUGGGAGUUUAUUAAGAGAUGGCAUUUUGUGUUAAAAAACAAAGAUAUGACCUUUUAUAUUUUAAUAGAUGGUAUUUUUAUAUUAAGAGAUGACAAUUUUGUUUAAGAGAUGGCAUUUUGCAUUAAGAGAUGGCAUUUUUAAUUAAGAGAUGGUGUAAGGGCAUAUUUCUUCCUAAGUGGUUUUGCUGAUUGAUGAUAUUGCAUUUGCGGAUUAAUCGUGUGCGUUGAGCAUUUCAGAUAUCUCAUGUCUAGGCACAACAUGAUUUGGUGCCUCCCGGAGCCUAUCGAAGACGACGGUUCUCUACGUUUCUUUUUGGUGGAUUUGAGUCGUAGGAAAUCCGUACUAGUAAGGAGGGGUCCGCUUCGAAAAGAUUAGGGUGGAAUCAACACAUACACAUUUGUUCCUUUGCACCACCUUCCCUUCGCUUCGAUGGAGCACCAUCCAUUUAUCCAUGUCUCUGCGAUUGAAGGUUGCCAAAUGCUAAAGCCUCUGUGGCGUGCAGUAGUACUGCUCAAGGGAGUAGUAGUACCGCAGGGGCAUGCGGUAGUACCUCUCAAGCGAGCGGUAGUACCGCUCUUGACGAGCGGUAGUACCACUGCCUUCAGCCCUGACGCUGACGCAUGCAGAAGUAAGCGCGGAUGUAACUUUUUACUUCCGCCCCUCCGCGGUAGUACCGCUCCCUGUGAGCGGUAGUACCGUGCCGGAUUUUUGCACAACUCCAACCUCAGCGAAAGUAGUUACGGAAGUAAUUUAUUUCUUCCGUGCAUUUCCAGCGCCAGUUGAGCCCUGCCUUACAGUAGUACCGUAGGGGCGCGCGGUAGUACCGCUUCGGCGGUUCUACCGCUUGUUGCCCUGUGCAAUAGGCCCUCGUCUGGUCACUACCGCACAAGCGGUAGUACCGCAAACGUGUGCGGUAGUACCACGGCUGUGUGCAAUAGUACCGUGCUACGCGGGCUGAGUGAGGGGAUGACGGUUGGAUCUUUUCCCCCACUAUAUAAAGGGGGUCUUCUUCCCCAAGAAGAUCACCUCUUCCCUCCCCAAGCUCCGUUGUUGCUUAGAGCUUCAUUUUCGCCUGAUCUCUCUCCCUAGCCAAUCAAACUUGUUGAUUUUCUAGGGAUUGGUUGAGAAGGCCCCGAUUUACACUCCCAUCAAGAGAAAUUUGAUUCCCCUUACUGAUCCCUUGCGAUCUUGUUACUCUUGGGUGUUUGAGCACCCUAGAAGGUUGAGGUCACCGCGGAGCCAUAUUCCAUUGUGGCGAAGCUUCAUGGUGUCGUUGGGAGCCUCCAAUUAAGUUGUGGAGAUAGCCCCAACUUUGUUUGUAAAGGUUCGGUCACCGCCUUCAAGGGCACCAAUAGUGGAUUCACGAUAUCUCGCAUUGUGUGAGGGCGUCCGGAGAAUACGGUGGCCCUAGUGGCUUCUUGGGGAGCAUUGUGCCUCCACACCGCUCCAACAGAGGCGUACUUCCUCUCAAAGGGAAGGAACUUCGGUAACACAUCCUCAUCUCCACCGGCUCCACUCUUGGUUAUCUCUUAUCUUUACUUGCGCAAGCUUUUAUUGUGUUGUCCCUUGCUUGCUUGUGUGCUUGUUGUUGCAUCAUAUAGGUUGCUCACCUAGUUGCACAUCUAGACAAUCCAUUUUGAUGCUAAGUUUAAUUUGGUCAAGGAAAGCUAAAAAAUGUUAGUUGCCUAUUCACCCCCCCUCUAGUCAACCAUAUCAAUCCUUUCAAUUGGUAAUAGAGCCUCGUCUCUUUAUUAAGGACUUUGUCGUCCGAAGAGUAUGGUUGGCACCACAGACGGGGUGGAGGAGCACUCCGAUGCGAGUCCUCCCUUGUCUGCAUUCGAUGAGGGAUCCUCAGUCUCUCGUGAGGAGUUCCAUGCGGCUAUGGACACAUUGAAAACCUCCAUGACAACCGAGGUUAAAGGCGUGUUUAAGGAGUUUCUUGAAGGCCUUAAAUUAUCCACCACACCGUUGAAAGUGGUUGAUCCCACUAACAAGGUGGCGGAUGCUAACUCCAAAAAGGAGGAAGCUAGUAGUGAUCAAGUUCCUUUGCCUAGUGGUAGAAAUGGGAGUGGCAUCUCUGCCCAUGUUAACCACCUCUUACAUGUGGAGGACCGGUUCCCUCCACGUAUAUGAAUCAUGUUGGUCCUCCUCCUAAGCUUGUGAAAAAUGAGGAUUUUACCUCUUGGGUGUAUCGCUUUAAACAUCAUUUGAAUCAUAGUUCUAAUAAUAUUUGGAGAAUUACUGAGCAAGGUUUCUACCCGCACGACCCAAGCAACUUCACUCCUAAGAAGCCGCGGAUCAUCAAUUCAGUGAGUCCGCUCUCUUCAUUCUCCAAGAAGCCAUUCCCCCCGAAGAUAUUGCGCACCUCUGACCUUUCACCGUGGCUAAGGAAGCAUGGGAUGUAACGCUCUCGAUGCGGCUAUAUCUCCCACGUGUCGAAGCACGACUUAGAGGCAUAACCGCAUUGAAAGCAAUGUCGCAAAUGAGGUAAUCUUCACAACAACCCAUGUAAAUUAAUAAGGGGAAAAGGAUACAUAGUUGGCUUACAAUCACCACUUCACACAAUUACAUGAAUAAAGCAUUACAUCAUCCAGAUACACACAAGGUCUGACUACGGAACCCAAAAUAAAAGAAGACUACCCCAAAAGCUACACAGAUCCCCGAUCGUCCCAACUGGGCUCCACUACUGAUCGACUGAAACAAAAAACACAAAGGACAAGAUCUUCAUCGAUCUCCUCCCGAGCUCAGUUGCGUCACCUGCACGGUAUCAUCGGCACCUACAAACUGGUUUUGGAAGUAUCUGUGAGUCACGGGGACUCAACAAUCUCACACCCUCGCGAUCAAGACUAUUUAAGCUUAUGGGUAGGUAAAAGGAUAUGAGGUGGAGCUGCAGCAAGCGACUAGCAUAUUUGGUGGCUAACAUACGCAAAUGAGAGCGAGAAGAGAAGGCAAAAGCACGGUCGAACAACUAUGAUCAAGAAGUGAUCCUAGAACAACCUACGUCAAGCAUUACUCCAACACCGUGUUCACUUCCCGGACUCCGCCGAGAAUAGACCAUCACGGUAACACACGCGGUUGAUGCAUUUUAAUUAAGUUCCAGGUUUUCUACAACCGGACAUUAACAAAUUCCCAUCUGCCCAUAACCGCGGGCACGGCUUUCGAAAGUUCAAUCCCUGCAGGGGUGUCCCAACUUAGCCCAUCACAAGCUCUCACGGUCAACGAAGGAUAUUCCUUCUCCCAAGACAAUCCGAUCAGACUCGGCAUCCCGGUUACAAGACAUCCUCGACAAUGGUAAAACAAGUCCAGCAAAGCCGCCUGAAUGUGCCGACAAAUCCCGAUAGGAGCUGCACAUAUCUCGUUCUCAGGGCACACUCAAAUUGUCCAAACUUCCGGUAGGCCAACCCAGAGUUGCCCCUGGUGACCACCGGCGGCUGACAGGUUGGACCAACACUCAGAGGAGCACUGGCCCGGGGGGGUUAAAAUAAAGAUGACCCUCGGGAGCGCGACUCCCAAGGGAAAAGUAGGUGGUGGUGAGGCAAAUGGUAAAACCAAGGUUGGGCCUUGCUGAAGGAGUUUUAUUCAAAGCGAACUGCCAAGGGGUUCCCAUUAUAACCAGACCGUGUAAGGAACGCAAAAUCCGGGAACAUAACCGAUAUGACAGAAACUAGGGCGGCAAGAGUGGAACAAAACACCAGGCAUAAGACCAAGCCUUCCACCCUUUACCAAGUAUAUGAAUGCAUUAAUUAAAUGAGAGAUAUUGUGAUAUCCCAACAAAAUAUCCAUGUUCCAACAAGGAACAAACUCCAAUCUUCACCUGCAACUAACAACGCUAUAAAAGGGGCUGAGCAAAGCGGUAACAUAGCCAAACAACGGUUUGCUAGGACAAGGUGGGUUAGAGGCUUGGUUUAACAAUAUGGGAGGCAUGAUAUAGCAAGUGGUAGGUAUCGCAACAUAGGCAUAGCAAAAGAGCGACCAUCUAGCAAGCAAAGAUAGAAGUGAUUUCGAGGGUAUGGUCAUCUUGCCUGAGAUCCCGCAAGGAAGAAGAACGAGUCCAUGAAGAAGACAAACGGACGAAGUCGAACGGAUCCUCACAAACGCGACGUUAUCGAAACUAUCCCGAAGAAGCAACACCGGAAAGAAGCAAACAACAUAGUAAACAACCACCACAUAAUCAUGGCAUGAUGCACAAUCAAGUAUGAUGCAUGUCCGGUUUAAUGAAGCAUGGCAUGGCAAAGUGCACAAACAAUACUACAAAUUAAGUGGAGCUCAAUAUGCAACGAGUUGCAUAUUGACGGAACACCACAUCAAUUAUUUAGUUCUCUCUCGGUUAGGUACCCAACAAUAUUAAAUGUUCUUAACAUGGUAAGAGGUGAAGCAUAACAAAAACUAUACCAUCUAACUAAUUUAAAUGAGGCCGGAUAUAACAAACAACAAAUCCGGUAAUCCCCAUAUGCAUUUAUCAAUUUAAUGCAAUAACAAUUUAAACAUUUUAGUUAUUGUUAUCAUGAUGCGGAUGACAUGAACAAGUUUAUGCAAUUUUUAUUAAAAGUUGACAAGAGCAUUAUGAAGCAUUUGUCACUGUGGUGGAAAGAAAGGGUGCCAUGGUGAUGAAUCUUAAAAUGGUGCCACGACAACAUAUCGGUUCCAGUAGCUCACGGAGAUACCGGUGCAAAGGAAGGGUGGCGGGAACGUGUCAUGAAAGGAUGGUGGGGUGAUCUCGGAUACCGAGUUCCCACAUGUCGGUGGCAAGGCAAAAGAGGGGCAACGUGCACCGAUAGUUCGGACUCGAGGCGAACAAGGGUGCAUCUCAUACAACAUGCAUUUAUUCGUUCACGGGCGUCGUCUCGGGGUUAUACCUUUUGACGCGUGCAUUAUCGGAUCAGAUCAAGUUCAUAGAGGGAAGUAGGCAUUCUUGCGACGACGGUAGUGGAAGUAGUCGUUCUCGCUGCGUAGAUGUUCACACUCCGUAGGUGUUCAUAUCAUCGGUGUCGUGGGGUACUUGGGUUCUUCGGACUUUCCGGUCCCGUUCUUGCGAUGGUAGUCGUUCACGUUCGUUCGGAGAGGUACUUGAUGACUCUAACGUCUUCGGGGCGACGGUAGUGGUACACACAAAAGUAGUCAAACUUGAUGGAUCCGAGGACUCCGGGCGUCGUGCACCGUUCGUAGACGUUCGGGUCUCCCGUAGAGGUACUAAACGAAUCCCGGAUAUGUAGUCGUACACGCACGUAGAUGAACUUGACGAAUCCGAACUCUUCGAGGGUCGUCGUGAUGCUCGUUCAUGUAGUAGUCGUACACGUGUACCGUGGUCGAGGUCUUGUUGGACUUGCAGGCCUUGGCGAUUCUGGAGACGCCGGUAGAAGUACUGGACGCGACACUGUAAACUCGUACACUUUCGGAGAGGACUUUUCCAUGAACCCAAAAUGAAACAGCCCCAAACGAAGGCAAAAGAGGCGGAGGCGCACGAGGGUAGCGAGGCAGUGGUCUCGCGGCAACAGGAGGUCGACGGCGGCGCGACACGGGAAGAGCAGCAGUAGGACGGAAUGGCUACCCUCGCCCUUAGCGUGGAGCAAGGGAGGCGAAGCUCCUGGAGGCUGGAGGUGCCAUGGACCUCGGGCGCACGAGGAGGAGCAGGGAAAAGAGGUCGGGCGGGCGACGUGCUUGGGACGGCUGGACCUCGCCGAAUCAAAGAAGGAGCGGCGGCGCACGAGAGUUCAAGUGGCUCCCUGGCGGAUCCCAGCGAGGACAGGGCGCGGGAGGUUGGCGGCUGCAGCAGAGCUCCCGCGCAGCAAGGCGGCAUGCGGAGCUUGGGGCGCGAGGGUGCGGGGCGGCGGCCUGCGGCGCCUGGCGGAGGAGGAGAAGUUGCAGGGGCGCCGGGGUGUGAGGCUCGGUCGCGUCGGGGUCCUAGAGAGUAUUGGGCGCGGGAGGUUCCUCCCCUGGCUCGGAGUGUAAGGGAGUAAAGGGAGACGAGGGAAGGAAGAGCGAGGGGGUCGGGACGAGCAAGAGAGAUGGGGGGAUCGAGCACUCGGCUCUCCUGGCGGCGCAAACGGGGAGACAAGGAGGAGGGGAUCGAGGGAGAGGGUUCGCUGCGCCUAGGUUAGAGCAGGACGCCGGCUGGGCCUUGGGCCUUUUUGGUCAGGCCGCAGGAAGAGAGUCCCAGGCUGCUGGGCUGAACAGUGAGGCCCAAGGGGCACUGCUGCUAUCUCUCUCUCUCUCUCUCUUAAAAAUCUUAUUUACUUUAACAAAAAAUAAAAUUAGAGAGAGGAGAAGAAAGAGAGGGUUAGGGAAGGAGUUGCGCAUGGGAAUAAUUUCCCCGGAUUCACAAAAAUGUGCUCAUACCGCGAAAAAAAUAGAAAUGGCCAAGAUUGAAAGAUUAAAUUCAAACUCAUUUGAUUUAAAUUCAAAUGAUUUGAAUAGCAAGUGAGGUUUGGGAAGGUUCAAAAAUGUUCGGUCUUUUUGGAGGAACCUCGGUAAAUGGGAAGAUAAUUUUGGCAAGGUUUUGAAGUCAAGCUUGAACUAGGAAAGACAUGGGGAAAAUGCAAGUGUGUUAUGGUGAACUCCAAAAGAAUGGAAUAUUUAUUAUAGCUCCCUAAUAAUAAUGGGAGGGUAUGUUAUAAAGAGAACUCACCAUGAGAAUUCCCUCAAUUUAAAUGGACCGAAGAUCCAUACGAUUUAUUUAGUUGAGUUGCAAAAGAAUUAUGACAUGAUGCAAUGCACAUGAUGCAAAGAUGAAUGCAAAAAACCAACAACUCACACAACGAAAACCCGGAAACCCUGGAAGGCAUCUGAAGCUCCGGUCUUGGGGCAUCACAACACUCCACCACUACAAGAGGAUCUCGUCCCGAGAUCUAGAAUGGCACCGGAGGGGAAAACGGAAGAGAAAGAGAAGAGGUAAAACUAAGUUGCUUCUUUGACAAACGAGUGAAACCAAAGAACCUUGAGUGGUUGAGCAAAUUGAAAGAAAGAAUACAACGGAGAUGAACAAAGUUGAAAACACUCCGUUAGAAAAGAUGAACAAGGAAGAACAAAUUCGUAUAGCACUCCGGUUGAAAAGAGAUGCAAGACUUGAUAGGAUGAAUAGGACGUGAGCAAAGGGGGCACAACACUCCGGUUAAAUGGGUAAGCACGAAAAGAACACCAUCCGAGAUGAUGAGAGAAAAGAGCAACAUCACAACGCCUCCGGAAGAGAGAAUAGAAGAUGGAUCAUUGAAAUAAAAGAAUGGAGAAGAAAAUGCAAACUUCUAUAACAAAA
rnacentral:lncRNA from 1 species